GUUGAACGCUGGCGGAAUGCUUUACACAUGCAAGUCGAGCGGCAGCGCGGGGCAACCUGGCGGCGAGCGGCGAACGGGUGAGUAAUGCAUCGGAACAUGUCCAUGUCGUGGGGGAUAGCCCGGCGAAAGCCGGAUUAAUACCGCAUACGCUCGAGAGAGGAAAGCCGGGGACCGCAAGGCCUGGCGCGAUUGGGUUGGCCGAUGUCCGAUUAGCUAGUUGGUGAGGUAAAGGCUUACCAAGGCGAUGAUCGGUAGCUGGUCCGGGAGGAUGAUCAGGCACACUGGGACUGGGACACGGCCCAGAAUCCUACGGGAAGCAGGAGUGGGGAAUUUUGGACAAUGGGGGCAACCCUGAUCCAGCCAUUCCGCGUGGGUGAAGAAGGCCUUCGGGUUGUAAAGCUCUUUUGUCCGGAGCGAAACGGUGUCGGUGAAUAUCCGACGCUACUGACGGUACCGGAAGAAUAAGCACCGGCUAACUACGUGCCAGCCGCCGCGGUAACAC
rnacentral:rRNA from 1 species